rnacentral:rRNA from 1 species
CCUACGGGAGGCAGCAGUGAGGAAUAUUGGUCAAUGGGCGGAAGCCUGAACCAGCCAAGUAGCGUGCGGGAUGAAGGCCCUACGGGUCGUAAACCGCUUUUGCACGGGGAUAACACACGGCACGUGGGGAGGUCUGCAGGUACCGUGCGAAAAAGGGCCGGCUAAUUCCGUGCCAGCAGCCGCGGUAAGACGGACGGACCGAGCGUUAUCCGGUUUGAUUGGGCUUAAAGGGAGCGGAGGCGGGCGGUCAAGUCAGCGGGACAAUCGCGCGGCUCACCCGCGCCCCGCCGUUGAAACUGGGCUCCUUGUGUUCACCACAGGCAGGCGGACUUCGUGGUGUAGCGGU